rnacentral:ncRNA from 1 species
GUAAACACAUAGAAGAGAAGAAGUAGCAACGAAGGAUUUUUCAGAGAGACUGCGGCCGGUGCAAGCAGUCAAGUCAACCGUUGUGAAAUGCAUCUCGGAGUGGCCUUAGCGAUACGUAGCUAAGGACGAUUCACAGACGUUACCUGUUUCAAGGCAAGCAAUUGCAAACAAAAGUGGGACCACGUCUAAGCGUCUUUUGA